rnacentral:rRNA from 1 species
AGAGUUUGAUCCUGGCUCAGGACGAACGCUGGCGGCACGCCUAACACAUGCAAGUCGAACGGAGAAUUUAGGUUUACUUGAAUUCUUAGUGGCGGACGGGUGAGUAACACGUGAGCAACCUGCCUUUGAGAGAGGGAUAGCUUCUGGAAACGGAUGGUAAUACCUCAUAACAUAUAUUUAAGGCAUCUUAGAUAUAUCAAAGAUUUAUCACUCAAAGAUGGGCUCGCGUCUGAUUAGCUAGAUGGUGAGGUAACGGCCCACCAUGGCAACGAUCAGUAGCCGGACUGAGAGGUUGAACGGCCACAUUGGGACUGAGACACGGCCCAGACUCCUACGGGAGGCAGCAGUGGGGAAUAUUGCACAAUGGGGGAAACCCUGAUGCAGCGAUGCCGCGUGGAGGAAGAAGGUUUUCGGAUUGUAAACUCCUGUCUUAAGGGACGAUAAUGACGGUACCUUAGGAGGAAGCUCCGGCUAACUACGUGCCAGCAGCCGCGGUAAUACGUAGGGAGCGAGCGUUGUCCGGAAUUACUGGGUGUAAAGGGAGCGUAAGCGGGAUGGCAAGUCAGAUGUGAAAACUAUGGGCUCAACCCAUAGACUGCAUUUGAAACUGUUGUUCUUGAGUGAAGUAUAGGUAAGCGGAAUUUCCUAGUGUUACGGUGAAAUGCGUUAGAUAUUACGAGGAACAUCGGUGGCCGAAGCUGCUUACUGGGCCUUUUACUGACGCUAAGGUUCCAAACCGGGGGGAGCAAAACGGGAUAAGAUCCCCUGGUGGCCCCCCAUGUAAAUGAAGAUAACUAGGAGGUGGGUGACUACCCCCUGU